UCGGAGUGUAGCUCAGCUUGGCUAGAGCACUUGCUUUGGGAGCAAGGGGUCGUGAGUUCAAAUCUCGCCACUCCGAA
rnacentral:tRNA from 1 species